UACGCGAGCAGUGCGCGCAUUUUGCACGCCA
rnacentral:sRNA from 1 species